rnacentral:rRNA from 1 species
UAGUCCACGCCGUAAACGAUGGAUACUAGCUGUCCGAGGCCUUGAGUCUUGGGCGGCCAAGCGAAAGUGAUAAGUGACCCACCUGGGGAGUACGAUCGCAAGAUUGAAACUCAAAGGAAUUGACGGGGGCCCGCACAAGCGGUGGAGCAUGUGGUUUAAUUCGAUGAUACGCGAGGAACCUUACCAGGGCUUAAAUGUAAGUUGCAUAGACCAGAGAUGGUCUUUUCUUCGGACUACUUACAAGGUGCUGCAUGGUUGUCGUCAGCUCGUGCCGUGAGGUGUCAGGUUAAGUCCUAUAACGAGCGCAACCCCUACCGUUAGUUGCCAGCAAGUAAAGUUGGGGACUCUAGCGGGACUGCCGGUGCAAACCGAGAGGAAGGUGGGGAUGACGUCAAAUCAUCACGGCCCUUACGUCCUGGGCUACACACGUGCUACAAUGGUCGGUACAGAGGGCAGCCACUACGCGAGUAGGAGCGAAUCCUUAAAACCGAUCUCAGUUCGGAUCGGAGUCUGC